CUCCGCGUAUAUUAAAAUUGUUGCAGUUAAAAAGCUCGUAGUUGAAGUUCUGCUAAAAGUAACCGGUCUGCUUUUAAUAAAGGUGGUAUCUUGGUGUGUAUUUAGCAAUGAUGUCCUUUGAAGUGUUUUUUACUUUAUUGUAAUAAAGCAUAUUCAGGACUUUUACUUUGAGAAAAUUAGAGUGUUUCUAGCAGGCUAACGCUUUGAAUACUGCAGCAUGGAAUAAUAAGAUAGGAUUUUAGUUCUACAUUAUUGGUUUUAAGAGCUAAAUUAAUGAUUGAUAGGGACAGUUGGGGGCAUUUGUAUUUAACUGUCAGAGGUGAAAUUCUUAGAUUUGUUAAAGACAAACUACUGCGAAAGA
rnacentral:rRNA from 1 species